GCUGCCUCCUCUGACUGUGGUGGAGCAGCUCAGCAGGAUAAUAAGCUUACUCGCCUGACCUUGGGUCUCUCUCUCAUCCUUUCUCUUGGCUAACCUUCAUUUUGGUGCCAAAACCCAGGAAGGGGAUAGGCUCUGGCUGGGCGUCCUUAGAGGAUUCUCUCUCUCUCUCUCCUAUCAUCCCUUACCCAGCCAACCUCCCCUUCCCGAACCUGCUAAAGACCCUAAGGAUCUCCCAAAAUUCUCCCAUUGUUGGCCACCUCAUCCACCAUCAAAGCCUCUGAGAGGGUUUUUACAGGGCCGUGUUAGAGCCUUCACCCAUGGAACAGUACAAGACAUGAUGCUACUCCGAGAAUACCGACAGCUCCAGGAACAGCAGUCCCUACUACCCAGCCUCUCCCCCCAACCAUCGCCCCUAUCCAGCAAGAAGCAGCCAGAGGACAACGGCGCCCCUCUUCUAUUACCUAUUAAAAGGCUGGAAUGUUAGGAACAAGUUGCACCAGAACCCCUCCCCCUUCCCACCCGCCCCCGCACCCCCCCCCCCCCACCCAAUGCAGCUGUCCCUUACCCUGAAUACUCUGCAGCUGCAUUCCUGGACCCUUAUCUAGGCACUACAGCAAGGUCACCAGACUUGCUUACAGCCCUACGGGCAGCAUGGGGGAGGUCACGAGAAACGUGGAUAAACCUAAGUUACACCCUCUUGUAAAUUCCUAUAUUGUAACCUGGUCACGAGAUGAUAUGUGGUAAGGUUAACCAACAAACAACCCCAGGGUCUCUCUCCCCCAUAUAAAACCCUCAUUUUGUAAGCUCAGGGCUGCCUCCUUUGACUGUGGUGAAGCAGCCUGGCAGGUUAGUAAACUUACUCUCCUGACCUUGGGUCUCUCUCUCGUCCUUUCUCUCGGCUAACCUUACAGCGCCCUCAUCCAUUCUCCAAUUAUAAUGUGUUUACACCUUUCCUCCUGCAUGUCUCACAUUUUACCUUGUCAUCCUCUUACUUGUGUAUGUGUCUAUGCCUCCCAGCAUUUGACAGUACCUGAAGGUCAAAGCCUAUCUGCUGUUUACCCUUACAAUUCUAUUCACUCGGCACGCACUAGGCACAGAAUAAAUGCCAUUCAUCCCUACUUUUACUUCAGGGUACAUUUUAGAGAUCUAAGAUUUGGUGUAUCUUUCCCAUUAUCCAUUCUUAUUGCCUCAAGGCUCUCCUCUUAUAAAUCUAGUGGUAUGCAUUACUUUGGGGGUAAGGACAAAUUUAUCCAGAACAGAGAAGAUUUAGUUCAGUCUUUAGUUUUAAAAUAAGCAUUUUUAAGUAAUAGCAGAGACAAAAGUCUGAAAGCCAACAUAGUUUUAAUUUAAAAGAAAUUUGAUUUUGCUACAGCUUUUUGGCCAGGAGUAAGUGAGGAUGCUGUUUCGAAAGCUGGUUUUGCAUCUUAAGCAGUACGGUGUGGGUCUUAGGGGCUGGAGUGUAUCUUGCAGGAAACACAGAGUAGGCAAGAAUGUGAGGUGGUGUAAGACUAGUUUGUCUGGUUCAAAAAGUAAAAAAGAAGACUGAAAAAAGUAGGAAAUCUAACCCAAAGCAAUCAAUCUUUGAGAAGAGCCCAGCACACUUCCCUUCCAAUUGAUUUGUCCUACACCCCUCCAUGAGCCUAAGCAUUAGAGCAGAAAUGACUGAGGGUAGCAUCCAAGCCACUGGGCCAAGGGGCACUGGUACGAUGAGGAUACCGUGUCCCACAAUUCUAGGGUAGUCUGGGAAAAACAAAGCAGAGUUCCUGAGAAGAAUGCAGUAGUGGCUGACAGAACCAGAAAGGGUGUUGUAGUGAUAUGUGGCCAUGACAUCAGAAGACUAAAAUGAGGCUAUGGAUAUUCCCUAGCAAAUGUCUGGGGAACAGAGGCCAAAGCCGAAAGCUCAAGAAUUAAUGGAAUGACUACACCUCAACGAAGGUUAUAGAUUAGUGAGGACUGAUGAGUACAAACCAGACUCACACAUCCAUCCUCAUCCUCACUCCCCACCCCCAGGCUACAAUAUUACAUAUAUGUCCCCUACUCCUGAGGGAUGGAAAAGAGGAUGGGUAGGAUAAGUUCAAACUGCUUUAAUGGCUAACAAAAUUCACCUUUAUUCCUUUUUAUUUUUAGUUGACAUGUAAAAAUUGUACAUAUUUAUUGGCUACAGAGUGAUAUUUUGAUACAAGUAUAAAGUGUGUAAUGAUCAAAUCAGAGUAAUUAGCACAUCAAUCACCUCAAAUAGUUAUCACUUAUUUGUACUGGGAACACUCGAAAUCCUUUUCUAGCUUUGAAAAAAUAUACAAUAAAUUAUUGUUAACUGUAUUCACCACAUAGCACUAUACAACAGUAGAACAGAAUUUAUUCCUCCUAUAUUGCUGUAAUUUUGUAUCUGUUAAUUAACCUCUCCCUAGCCUCCCCUCCCCCUACCCUUCCCAAUCUCUCAUAACCACAAUUCUACUCUCUAGAUCUAUGAGCUCAUUUUUUAAGUCCCUGCAUUUGAGUGAGAAGAUGAAGUAUUUAUCUUUCUGCGCAUGACUUGCUUUGCUUAACAUAAUAUCCUCCAGAUUCAUCCACGUUGGUGCAAAUGGAAGGAUUCCAUACUUUAUUUUAUGGCUGAUUAUUGUUCCAUUGUGUGUAUACCAUAUUUUCUUUAUUCACCUGUUUAUGGAUAUUUAUGUUGAUUCCAUACGUUUGCUAUUGUGAAUAGUGAUGCAAUAAACAUAGGGGCAUGCGUAUCCCUUUGAUAUACUAAUGUCCCUUCCUUUAGAUAAAUACCCAGUAGUGGGACUGCUGGAUCAUAUGGUAGUUCUAUUUUUAUUUUUUUUGAGAAACUUCCAUAAUGUUUUUCAUAAUGGCUGUAGUAAUUUACAUUACCACAGCGUAUAAGAGUUCCCUUUUCUCGGCAUCCUCAUGAGCAUUUGUCUUUUCUGUGUGUGUUUUUGAUGACAGUCAUUCUAACUGGGAUAAGAUGAUAUCUCAUAGUGGUUUUGCUUUCCAUUUUCCUGAUAAUUAGUGAUGUUCAGCAUUUUUUCAUUUACUUAUUGGCCAUUCAAAAUUCAUUUCAAUAAAUCAAAAUUAUUUUUAAACCUUCUGGGGAAAUAGGAGCUUGAGAAUAGGGUCCAGUUGAGUUAUAAAUGAAUUAAAAAACACUGUAGACAUGUGGCUGCAUGAGCCAUAUACUUUAUGCUGGAUAGAUAUACAUUUGUUGAAACAUCUGUUGAGUGACUGUAAGUUGUAGGCUUUAUAUUUUAGAAACACAGUGAGUGAGGAAGGCUGAUAAGUAAAUGGACAAGCAAUAUAAAAAAGGCUGAGAAGCAAGUCUCUGCAUAAUGACAGGGAAGUUAAGUCUAAAUCUGACCCUAAAGGGCUGGGACACUGGACAGUGGAAGCAGAAGAAAAGGUCAGGAAACAAACUAUGAAGAAGACAAUAUCUGACGUGGAUAUCAAAGGAUGAGAAAAUAUUGGAUGCCUGCUGGAGAAAGUUGCCAAAUAAGAGGCGAGUAUUCUAGCAAAGGAAUCCAUCUGCAACAGCAAAAGUCUGGUGACUUGAAGGAAUGUGUCAGGCACUGGGUACUAAGACAGUAUCAACAGCAAUGAAGAGAACAGGAAAGAUUCAAGAGAUAAUUAGAAGGUGGAACAGGCUAGGAUAGCAAUUAAAUGAAUGUAGAGCACUUGGGAGAAGUCAGGAUGACUCCUGGAUUUUGGCUUUGAAAUCCUGAGUGAGUGGUGGCUCCAUUAAUAAGAUAAAGACAAUUAGAGAAGAAAUCAUUUUCUAGAUGUGUUGAGUUUGAGGUUCUUAUGACACACAUAACAUGAAAUAUCUGAAAUACUGACUUGGAGCUCAGGCAAGAGGUCUGAGUUAGAUUUAAAGUUUAGAUUGACUCAUGGGUAGUAGUUGAAGCUCUGGGUGGGGAUGAGUUUGCUUAGGAAGAAUGUAUAAAAGAAGAGACAAUAAUUAAAAUCCUUUAAAAAAGCACUUGAAGGGCAGGCCAUGCAAAGAAGAAUAACAGUGGCCUGAGAGGGAGAAAAACAAGGAAGCCAGGGGAGGAGUGAGGCUGGAUAAGCUGGGAAAAGUCAAAAGUGUGGGUUGCAACACAAGAAUCACGUGCAUAAUGUCACGGUGUCCACCGGAUUUACCAGGGGUCAUCGAUGCCCAUAACAAGAACAUUUUCCGAGGAACUGUGAGAGUGAAAGUCUGACUGUGGGUUAAAGACUGACUGGUAAAUGAGGAAGUGGAGACUGUUUUUUCAAAGCAGCAUGACUGGACAAUGGGAGAGGGCGUGAUCAUUUAUAAAUAGUGAGGAGAACAGGGUAAAGCUGCAUCACGGACCAAACAGCAAGGAAACAGAACAUGGGGAACAUCAGGAUCAGUAACUCACCACAGGAAUUCCUACUCCUGGGAAAUAGAAUUCUUCACUAGUGGCUGACUGUGACAUAUCUUUCCAAGAGUUAACCCCAGACUCCAAAUCUUAAGAAUAUGGGCUUUUCUUCCACUAUCAUUCACAUUCUGCAGUUACUGGUAGUAUUUUACAGUAUUUUCAGAUGUAAUUUUACUAAUUUCUAAAAAUAGUUCAUAUCUUUAAAAAUCAUGGGAAAAUCAUGACUAAUAAAUUCACCAACUUUAAAAUAUAUUGUUCAAAAGUGUUUUUCCAAUGACUCUGUAAAUUGGUAAGAUCUGGCCACAUUUCAUGUUAUUGUCUAAAAAUAAGCUAACUAUGAGACAAUGGGUCUAAAUCAUUCUCCAAAAUAUUGAUGAUGUUCUUCACUUUCAAACUGGCUAAACUGAUAAUUUUACUAUCUUAUGCCUCAGGCUGAGGAGGUUAUAUUGUAAUGUCCGGGAAUAUUUACUAUAAUUUAAAAUUCAAUAAAAGGACAAUAUGGAAUAACAUAUUAAUAAUAGUGACUGUUGAUCAAAAAAGCUGAUUUCUCUGAUAUAUGAUCAAGGUAUGGGAUUUAGGUUAUAUCCAUAACCUUAGUUUUGGCCAGGUGGCCUUAGCUGGGUGAUAACUGGAUGUUUAACCUAAGUUUUUCAUACCUGGGUCAUAAUACAAACUUGAAGAAACUGCACUGGCAUCCUUUUAGGCUCUCUGAUGCAGAAGGUUGUCUUUGGAUAACUAGCGCAAUUACUACUAUUAAAAUAUUAUGGUACAGAAAAGUUUAGUUACGUGUAUUUCUUUGUUUACUGACACACCCCAAAAUAAAGUUGCCAAGGUAGUUCAAGAUCUUAUCACCAUUCAGAAACUUUUGGCAACAUACCAACUGGUUAAAGGUUAAUAACACAAACACAGAUCCUGGAGGUAUUUGCCAUAGAUUAUGUAGGAAUCUGGUGCUUGAUUCUCACCAGGGUAUCCCUUUUGAGUAUAGGAAAAUUCCAGAAUAUAAUUGAUAACCAAGCACCAGUACCUCUGCAACAAAUAUCUCUCAUUCCAAAUAUCUCUUUUACAAGGCAUGGGAAAAGAGAACUUGAAAGUUAUUAAAGAUAAUUAACUAUAUAAAAUAAAAAUAAUUUACUAUUAAAUAGAUGAAUGCCCUGGAACCUUAUAAUAGAGACUCUGUCCCUAUUACGUGAACCUGGAUUUGUGGCCCAUACUCCCACAGGUUGACUAUGGGAAGAGAGUAUACGGCACAAGAACUACAACCUGUCUACCACCACACCCAACUACCUGGCCCAUAGUGGAAACUCUGUAUUUGUUCUGCAAAAUAAUAAAUGAUUUAGUGAAUACUACUGCUUUCAGUGGAAUCUCAGCAGAUUAAGCAUCAUCAGUUCUGAAUUCAGCAGAUUCUGAAACUGUCACAAGGCAUUCUAUUACCAGGCCAUACUAUCUAAUAUACUACCAAGUUAGCUUAGUGUGGUGAAAAAAAUGUAAAGUAGGAAUAGAAAAACCCAGGACCCAUCCUGGGUCAUCACGCAACUGGCAUGAAUGUGGAGUGACUUGCACAUACCUUCUAAAGCCUAAGGCUUUUGUUUCCCCUUUUGAAACUGGGAUGAUA
rnacentral:lncRNA from 1 species